UACAGAGGUCCCAAGCGUUGUUCGGAUUCACUGGGCGUAAAGGGUGCGUAGGUGGCGGCGUAAGUUCGAUGUGAAAUCUCCGAGCCCAACUCGGAAAAGGCAUUGAAAACUACGCGGCUUGAGGGUCGGAAGGGAGACUGGAAUUCUCGGUGUAGCAGUGAAAUGCGUAGAUAUCGAGAGGAACACCGGUGGCGAAGGCGAGUCUCUGGACGACACCUGACACUGAGGCACGAAAGCUAGGGGAGCAAACAGG
rnacentral:misc_RNA from 1 species